AGAGUUUGAUCAUGGCUCAGAACGAACGCUGGCGGCGUGCUUAACACAUGCAAGUCGAGUGCGCGGUUGUAGCAAUACAACUGGCGCACGGCGCACGGGUGCGUAACACGUGGGUAACCUGCCCUUUGGUGGGGAAUAACUCCGCGAAAGCGGAGCUAAUUCCGCAUAAGAUCCGCAAGGAUGAAAGCCGAAAGGCGCCGAUGGAGGGGCCCGCGCCCGAUUAGCUAGUUGGUAGGGUAAUGGCCUACCAAGGCUUUGAUCGGUAGCUGGUCUGAGAGGAUGAUCAGCCACACUGGAACUGAGACACGGUCCAGACUCCUACGGGAGGCAGCAGUGGGGAAUCUUGCACAAUGGGCGAAAGCCUGAUGCAGCGACGCCGCGUGGGGGAUGAAGCAUUUCGGUGUGUAAACCCCUUUCGAUCCGGACGAAUGCCCGCAAGGGAGUGACGGUACGGAUAUAAGAAGCCCCGGCUAACUACGUGCCAGCAGCCGCGGUAAGACGUAGGGGGCCAGCGUUGUUCGGAAUUACUGGGUGUAAAGGGUUCAUAGGCGGUGCGGCAAGUUGGGAGUGAAAUCUCUGGGCUUAACCCAGAGGCUGCUUCCAAAACUGCUGUGCUUGAGUGUGGGAGAGGCGCGUGGAAUUGCAGGUGUAGCGGUGAAAUGCGUAGAUAUCUGCAGGAACACCCGUGGCGAAAGCGGCGCGCUGGACCACUACUGACGCUGAGGAACGAAAGCUAGGGGAGCAAACAGGAUUAGAUACCCUAGUAGUCC
rnacentral:rRNA from 1 species